rnacentral:rRNA from 1 species
ACGAACGCUGGCGGCGUGCUUAACACAUUCCAGUCGAACGGAAAGGCCCUGCUUUUGUGGGGUGCUCGAGUGGCGAACGGGUGAGUAACACGUGAGUAACCUGCCCUUGACUUUGGGAUAACUUCAGGAAACUGGGGCUAAUACCGGAUAGGAGCUCCUGCUGCAUGGUGGGGGUUGGAAAGUUUCGGCGGUUGGGGAUGGACUCGCGGCUUAUCAGCUUGUUGGUGGGGUAGUGGCUUACCAAGGCUUUGACGGGUAGCCGGCCUGAGAGGGUGACCGGCCACAUUGGGACUGAGAUACGGCCCAGACUCCUACGGGAGGCAGCAGUGGGGAAUAUUGCACAAUGGGCGGAAGCCUGAUGCAGCAACGCCGCGUGCGGGAUGACGGCCUUCGGGUUGUAAACCGCUUUCGCCUGUGACGAAGCGUGAGUGACGGUAAUGGGUAAAGAAGCACCGGCUAACUACGUG